rnacentral:tRNA from 2 species
UGGGCCUAUAGUGUAGCGGAUAGCACAAGGGCCUCCGGAGCCCUAGACCCGGGUUCAAAUCCCGGUAGGCCCGUCCA